AGAGCGUAGGGAGGAUACCUAGGCACCAAGAGCCGAAGAAGGACGUGAUAAGCUGCGAAAAGCUAUGGUAAGGAGCAAAUAUCCUAUGACCCAUAGAUAUCCGAAUGAGGGAACUCAUCCACAGAAAAGAGUGUGGAUAUCCAUAUAUGAGUAAAGUAGUAUAUAGGAAGGGAACGCAAGGAACUGAAACAUCUUAGUACUUGUAGGAAGAGAAAGAAAAAUCGAUUCUGUUAGUAGUGGCGAGCGAAAGCGGAAGAGCCCAAACCAAUGUUGCUUGCAAUAUUGGGGUUCGGACUACAUAAUCCAUUUAUCGAGCGAAUAAGAAUUGUUUGGAAAGGCAAAUCAUAGAAGGUGAAAAUCCUGUAUUAGAAGCAAGAUGAAGGAGGUAGUAUCCAGAGUAGUGCGAGGCACGUGAAACCUCGUAUGAAAGAGCGGGGACCACCCCGUAAGGCUAAAUACUACUUGGUGACCGAUAGAGAUUAGUACCGUGAGGGAAAGGUGAAAAGAACCCCGGGAGGGGAGUGAAAUAGAACAUGAAACCCUAUGCUUACAAACAGACAAAGCACGUUAAGGUGUGAUGUCGUACUUUUUGUAGAACGGUCCAGCGAGUUAUUGUAUAUGGCAAGGUUAAGCACUAUGUAAGGUGUGAAGCCGAAGCGAAAGCGAGUCUGAAAAGGGCGAAUUAAGUCAUAUGUAAUAGACCCGAAACCGGGUGACCUAACCAUGGUCAGGAUGAAGCUUGAGUAAAAUCAAGUGGAGGUCCGAACCGAUAAGCGUUAAAAAGCUUCCGGAUGAACUGUGGUUAGCGGAGAAAUUCCAAUCGAACUCGGAGAUAGCUGGUUCUCCUCGAAAUAGCUUUAGGGCUAGCCUUGAUGUAAGAUAUAUGGGGGUAGAGCACUGAAGGUGCUAGGGGCCUAAACCAGGUUACUGAACACUAUCAAACUCCGAAUACCAUAUAUUAGUAAUCAGGAGUCAGACUGCGGGAGCUAAGUUCCGUGGUCAAAAGGGAAAGAGCCCAGAUCGUCAAUUAAGGUCCCAAAGAUAUAGCUAAGUGGGAAACGAUGUGAAAUUGCGUAAACAACCAGGAUGUUGGCUUAGAAGCAGCCAUACAUUUAAAGAGUGCGUAAUAGCUCACUGGUCGAGUGAAUUUGCGCGGAAAAUUACCGGGGCUAAGCUAUACACCGAAAUUGCGGGUUCAUAAGUAAUUAUGAGCGGUAGAGGAGCAUUCUGUAGUAGGAUGAAGUAUGAUCGAAAGGACAUAUGGACGAGGCAGAAGAGAGAAUGCUGGAAUAAGUAGCGAGAGCAAAGUGAGAAUCUUUGCCGUCGAAAGUCUAAGGUUUCCUGGGGAAGGUUCGUCCGCCCAGGGUAAGUCGGGACCUAAGGUGAGGCCAAGGAGGCGUAGCCGAUGGAUAGCAGGUAUAAGAUUCCUGCACUACCGAAAUACUUAAAAACGAUAAGGGACGCAGGAGAGGAAGGAAAUCCGGGAAAAGGAAAAACCGGAGCCGAAAGGCAUAGUGAAAAUUAUAGUAACGAAGUUCCAAGAAUCACACUGACGAGAAAAGCUUAUUGACAUUGUAUUAAGGUACCCGUACCGCAAACCGACACAGGUAGAUGAGGAGAGGAUCCUAAGACGAGCGAGAGAAGUACUGUUAAGGAACUCGGCAAACUAACCCCGUAACUUAGGGAGAAGGGGUGCCUAUGUAAAAGUAGGUCGCAGAGAAGAGUCCCAAGCAACUGUUUAACAAAAACACAGGUUUCUGCUAAAUCGAAAGAUGAAGUAUAGGAGCUGACGCCUGCCCAGUGCUGGAAGGUUAAGGGGAAAUGUUAGAGUAAUCGAAGCAUAGAACUAAAGCCCCAGUGAACGGCGGCCGUAACUAUAACGGUCCUAAGGUAGCGAAAUUCCUUGUCAGGUAAGUUCUGACCCGCACGAAAGGCGUAAUGAUUUGGGAGCUGUCUCGACAGUAUACUCGGCGAAAUUGUAGUACUAGUGAAGAUGCUAGUUACCUGCGACAAGACAGAAAGACCCCAUGGAGCUUUACUGUAGCUUGAUAUUGGGUUUCGGUAAUUUAUGUACAGGAUAGGUGGGAGACUAUGAAGCAAGAGCGUUAGCUUUUGUGGAGUCAUCCUUGGGAUACCACCCUUAAAUUAUUGGAAUUCUAACCUGUGAUCAUGAACUGGUCAGGGGACAAUGUCAGGCGGGCAGUUUGACUGGGGCGGUCGCCUCCUAAAGAGUAACGGAGGCGCCCAAAGGUUUCCUCAACCCGGACAGAAAUCGGGUGAAAGAGUGCAAAGGCAGAAGGAAGCUUAACUGAAAGACAGACAUGUCGAGCAGAUACGAAAGUAGGGCUUAGUGAUCCGGUGGUAUGUGAGUGGAAAUGCCAUCGCUCAACGGACAAAAGUUACCCUGGGGAUAACAGGCUUAUCUCUCCCAAGAGUUCACAUCGACGGGGAGGUUUGGCACCUCGAUGUCGGCUCAUCGCAUCCUGGGGCUG
rnacentral:rRNA from 1 species